rnacentral:rRNA from 1 species
AUUGAACGCUGGCGGCAGGCUUAACACAUGCAAGUCGAGCGGGGUGAUGGUGCUUGCACUAUCACUUAGCGGCGGACGGGUGAGUAAUGCUUAGGAAUCUGCCUAUUAGUGGGGGUCAACAUCUCGAAAGGGAUGCUAAUAUCGCAUACGUCCUACGGGAGAAAGCAGGGGAUCACUUGUGACCUUGCGCUAAUAGAUGAGCCUAAGUCGGAUUAGCUAGUUGGUGGGGUAAAGGCCUACCAAGGCGACGAUCUGUAGCGGGUCGGAGAGGAUGAUCCGCCACACUGGGACUGGGACACGGCCCAGACUCCUACGGGAGGCAGCAGUGGGGAAUAUUGGACAGUGGGGGGAACCCUGAUCCAGCCAUGCCGCGUGUGUGAAGAAGGCCUUAUGGUUGUAAAGCACUUUAAGCGAGGAGGAGGCUCUUUUGGUUAAUACCCAAGAUGAGUGGACGUUACUCGCAGAAUAAGCACCGGCUAACUCUGUGCCAGCCGCCGCGGUAA